rnacentral:rRNA from 1 species
UCCUACGGGAGGCAGCAGGGGGGAAUAUUGGACAAUGGGGGGAACCCUGAUCCAGCCAUGCCGCGUGUGUGAAGAAGGCCUUUUGGUUGUAAAGCACUUUAAGCGAGGAGGAGGCUACUUAGAUUAAUACUCUAGGAUAGUGGACGUUACUCGCAGAAUAAGCACCGGCUAACUCUGUGCCAGCAGCCGCGGUAAUACAGAGGGUGCGAGCGUUAAUCGGAUUUACUGGGCGUAAAGCGUGCGUAGGCGGCUUCUUAAGUCGGAUGUGAAAUCCCUGAGCUUAACUUAGGAAUUGCAUUCGAUACUGGGAAGCUAGAGUAUGGGAGAGGAUGGUAGAAUUCCAGGUGUAGCGGUGAAAUGCGUAGAGAUCUGGAGGAAUACCGAUGGCGAAGGCAGCCAUCUGGCCUAAUACUGACGCUGAGGUACGAAAGCAUGGGGAGCAAACAGGAUUAGAUACCCUGGUAGUCCACGCCCUAAACGAUGUCAACUGGUUGUUGGGUCUUCACUGACUCAGUAACGAAGCUAACGCGUGAAGUUGACCGCCUAGGGAGUACGGUCGCAAGAUUAAAACUCAAAUGAAUUGACGGA